rnacentral:rRNA from 1 species
CUACGGGAGGCACCAGUGAGGAAUAUUGCACAAUGGGGGGAACCCUGAUGCAGCAACGCCGCGUGGAGGAUGACGCAUUUCGGUGUGUAAACUCCUUUUAUAUGUCAAGAAAAUGACGGUAGCAUAUGAAUAAGCACCGGCUAACUCCGUGCCAGCAGCCGCGGUAAUACGGAGGGUGCAAGCGUUACUCGGAAUCACUGGGCGUAAAGGACGCGUAGGCGGGUUGGAAAGUCGGGUGUGAAAUCCUACAGCUUAACUGUAGAACUGCACUUGAAACUUCUAAUCUAGAGUAUGGGAGGGGGAGAUGGAAUUAGUGGUGUAGGGGUAAUAUCCGUAGAUAUCACUAGGAAUACCUAAAGCGAAGGCGAUCUCCUGGAACAUUACUGACGCUAAGGCGUGAAAGCGUGGGGAGCAAACAGGAUUAGAUACCCGGGUAGUC